rnacentral:rRNA from 1 species
UUGGGCCUACGGGAGGCAGCAGUGGGGAAUAUUGCACAAUGGGGGAAACCCUGAUGCAGCAACGCCGCGUGAGUGAAGAAGUAUUUCGGUAUGUAAAGCUCUAUCAGCAGGGAAGAAGAAAGACGGUACCUGACUAAGAAGCCCCGGCUAACUACGUGCCAGCAGCCGCGGUAAUACGUAGGGGGCAAGCGUUAUCCGGAUUUACUGGGUGUAAAGGGAGCGUAGACGGCAUAGCAAGUCUGAAGUGAAAGCCCGGGGCUCAACUCCGGGACUGCUUUUGAAACUGUGUUGCUAGAUUGCAGGAG